rnacentral:miRNA from 1 species
CUAGAAUGGUCAGUUACUUACAGU